rnacentral:rRNA from 1 species
AUACUGCGGUGAAUACGUUCCCGGGCCUUGUACACACCGCCCGUCACACCACGAAAGCUGACAACACCCGAAGCCGGUGA